rnacentral:rRNA from 1 species
UAGUGGCGAACGGGUGAGUAACACGUGGGCAAUCUGCCCUUCACUCUGGGACAAGCCCUGGAAACGGGGUCUAAUACCGGAUAACACUCUGUCCCGCAUGGGACGGGGUUGAAAGCUCCGGCGGUGAAGGAUGAGCCCGCGGCCUAUCAGCUUGUUGGUGGGGUGAUGGCCUACCAAGGCGACGACGGGUAGCCGGCCUGAGAGGGCGACCGGCCACACUGGGACUGAGACACGGCCCAGACUCCUACGGGAGGCAGCAGUGGGGAAUAUUGCACAAUGGGCGAAAGCCUGAUGCAGCGACGCCGCGUGAGGGAUGACGGCCUUCGGGUUGUAAACCUCUUUCAGCAGGGAAGAAGCGAAAGUGACGGUACCUGCAGAAGAAGCGCCGGCUAACUACGUGCCAGCAGCCGCGGUAAUACGUAGGGCGCAAGCGUUGUCCGGAAUUAUUGGGCGUAAAGAGCUCGUAGGCGGCUUGUUGCGUCGG